rnacentral:ncRNA from 1 species
AAUCAGGCGUUGAUGAAAACGAGUAUCUUUGAGGUUUCGUUUACAGCGAAUCCGGAAUGGUGAGAGCCGGGCAGCGAUGUGCAGAGAGAAAAUCCUUUCGGAGCUUUGAUCUGAACGUAUGAGCCAGCUUCAUACAAGUAAGUGAGACGGAAUAAUUCCACCGUUAUCUGGAUGAAAGCGUUCAUCAUUCCAUUAUGAUGAAAACAAGGGUGGUACCGCGGAAUCUGUCCGUCCCUUAU